rnacentral:lncRNA from 1 species
GAUAACAAUGUAAUUCAAGCAAAGAUUUCAAAAGAGACUCACAGACACGUUGCCUUACACCUUUUUUACCUGCUCACUGUUUAAACUGAGAAAAAGACAGAACUGGGGGACUUCAGCUCCUGAAUAUUUCACAAGUGUGUCUCUGUUCUGCAACACAGCCAGAGCCACCUUCAGAGAAAAGGAACAUAGCAAGAAGGCAGAAACAGAGCCCUCAUCAGACACAACAUGCUGGCACCUUAAUAUUGGAAUUCUGGCCUCCAGGACUAUGAGAAGAUACAUGUCAG